CGCGCCGACACAUCCCCGCCCGCCUCGGCGAGACCGGGCGGCCCCGACGGGCUGCGGAAGGCGGCCGCUCCCCGCGGUGGGUGCCCACGGCACUUCGCGGCGGUCCUCCGGCCGCAGAGCCGCCUCCGGGCGCCGACGGAGCGCCCUCCGCCGCCUCGGGGUGCCCGACGGCGCGCCCCGGUGCCCGGCAGCCCCCGGCCUCAGGCGGCAGAGUGGGCAUGUGCGGCGCUUUCCGCACAUGCCCAUUAGGGAGGCCGGGAGUCUGCGGUGGGGCCGCGCUUGCCCGGGUUCACCGUACCCGGGACCUCCGGGUAUCCCCUGGGCGGCUCCGGGCUCCAGCGGUGCCUCCCGGCGCGGGGCACGGUCUCCCCGUAAACCACGUGUUGAGCUUAAGGACCAGAGCGGGUGAAAACGUGUGUUUCUGACAAGGGGCAAAAGGCUGUUCGGGUUCCUGGCGCUUGUCAGCUGCCCCGGGCUCUUAGCUGUCAUCUCUUAGGUGCUGAUGUGCGGGCCCCGCUGCUGCCUGGCCUCCUGCGUGCCGGUGGGCGAAGGGGAAGUUUCAUUCUGAGGGUGUUACACCCGUUACGCUGUGUGAGCAGCAGCGGCUCCGUGGUGCGGUUAUUGGUGGGCUGACUGACGUCGUCCCUCCCUGUGCAUCUCUACAGUGUCUGACCCGAGAUCUUACUGUCAUACAGAGAGCUGCCUUGCCACCAUACCUGCUUCUUCCUUCACAACAAGGUUGUGCUUGAAGGGCUCCUGUGGAAGAAAAAGCUGAGAAGUGCUGGAGGAGGGGUUCCUGAUGGGUGACUUCAGAUGAGCAUGGAGGGCCUCUGGGAAAGGAAAGGUGGCGGAGCAGCUGGGAUGGCCACAGGAGUUAACAGGGGAGCAGAGUCAAAGGUCUCCCUAAUUCCAGGCUGGAUCCUGUCGCAGAGGGAAGAUUACCCAAAAGUACUGUUCCCUUCACUGAUGCAUACAACACAGGGAUGGCAAUCUGCUUAUGAUGAAAAGGGCGUUACAGAAACACCACAGGAAAUAAAUUCAAGAUGGCUGUUUCCAUACCUCCUGAGACAGGCGACUGGCGCAAUCAGCCUUGUUGAAAUUCCUCCUCCCGUGUCUGUGAGCCCCUAGCGUUCAUCGAAUGGAAGGGAGAAAAAAGGGUACUUGGGUCACUUGAGGACUGUGCAGACUUUCCAUUACUGGAGGAUAUUAAAGGCAGCGGAAUGAAUUGGAAAGCUGUGACCCGAGCAUAGCUAAUCCCACUUUGGGGCAGAAGGAUGGAUGAGGUGUUCCUGUGAUGUCUCAGUCCACCAGUGCUAUUUUCUGUGACUCAAGAGUAGGUUAGGUGUUCCACACACAUAUCUGAUAAAGUAAAAUAGUCUGCGACUUGUGAAUGCAGAGACAUUUAUUACUGAGAUGGAAGACAGCUCCCUAGCUCACCUACAAGAGCAGAAAUCACAGGCUUGUUGGUAGUCCCUGGCACAGCAGCCAAGCUGUAGAGGCAGCACCGGUCAGUCUAUCUCUCACCUGUUAAUGCUUUGCAUUCUGACUUUGAUGCCCUUUGUAGCCUUUGCCUCGGCUUUGUGUCUCUAAAGCUGUGAGUAAAGAGAAUUAUCUAAAUAUGAAUUACAGAUGUGCAGCUCUGGGACAGCACAGUCUGACUCAGAAUUUUCUUCAUGCUGCUCUGUCACGUUUGUCCACCUGCAUCUAGAUUGCAUAUUGAGUCAUAUUGACAGUGUAGUUGGCUAUAAAGUAAGAGACCUUCAGUAAAGGACAUUAAAAAAAAUCUCUUCUAUUUUUUUUUUUUUCCCCUCAGCUUUUCAGAGUGUGUGUGUGAACUGGUAUCAGGUUGGCUACGUUCUAAACUAUCACAGAUUUUCUACAUCAUAGACAGGACAAACCACAAGCACUGGUAGAAGUACAGACCAAGGGCUGAAAGCUCCAGGAAGCAGGUUUUGCCACUUCACCCCUUACCUUUGUUUCUCUAAGAUGGGGAUGAGAAAAGUUGCUUCUCACUGGGAGUGGAGAAAGCAGAAUCAGCAAUUUAUUGGCAUGUAGGAAAUACGAUGGGACUGUUGACCUGUGUAGUAUUCAGACCAGAGAAACUUUAUUCAUAAAAUCAUUCAUAACAUUCCCUUUGUUAUGCUUUAUCAGUUGUGUUUAAGUGCUGAAAUGUGCCAAGUGAUCCUAUGAAAAGUAAAAGGGAAGUGAGUUUUAGUUACUCUGUACUCAGCCCAUUUUCAGCUUCUGAGGAAAACACAGAUCCCAUAUAACCACUGUCAUAGCCAUGCCCCAGCCUCCUUUCUCAGCACACACCAGGCAAUUUCACCAGGUAAGUGCCUGACAAGAGUUUGGCUGUACUUCUGCACUGUUUCUCUGUCACAUCUUGAGCUGCUGCUGUCCUUUCUGUCUGUCACAAGCAUAUCUUUCUCCUGCAUUGCUGUAAGUACUUAGGAAGAAGUCUGUGUCUGCCUGCCUUCAGGAGAAAAUAGAAGAUCAAUUAGGAAUUUUAAGGAGCAAACUGAACAAGCAAAACGGGAGAUAUUAAAAGCAGGAGAUUGGCUAUUGGUACAUCCCUUAUGUUAAAUGUGAUCACUAGAGCACUUAAACAGCACUUGAAAAUGCCCUGUUACUUACUUACUUACUUACCCUGCAUUGCCAAGCAGAGAGUGUGCAGGGCGGUGGCUAAAGGUUUCUGAGGGCUGUGUUAGGGUAAGGCAUUAGCCUGUCUGGUGUUCUUUUUAAGUAAUAAAAAGCUUCCAUGACAAAACA
rnacentral:lncRNA from 1 species